rnacentral:rRNA from 1 species
AUUGAACGCUGGCGGCAGGCCUAACACAUGCAAGUCGAACGAGUGGCGGACGGGUGAGUAAUGUCUGGGAAACUGCCUGGUGGAGGGGGAUAACUACUGGAAACGGUAGCUCAUACCGCAUACCAUCAGAUGUGCCCAGAGGGGAUUAGCUUGUUGGUGGGGUAACGGCUCACCAAGGCGACGAUCCAUAGCUGGUGUGAGAGGAUGACCAUCCACACUGGAACUGAGACACGGUCCAGACUCCUACGUGAGGCAGCAGUGGUGAAUAGUGCACAAUGGGCGCAAGCCUGAUGCAGCCAUGCCGCGUGUAUGAAGAAGGCCUUCGUGUUGUAAAGUACUUUCAGCGGGGAGGCGUUACCCGCAGAAGAAGCACCGGCUAACUCCGUGCCAGCCGCCGCGGUAAUUC